AUCAAAACAUGUCACACGACG
rnacentral:snRNA from 1 species